CAUCGCUUCCGUUCGAACCCUAAUGUGCGUUUCUCUCUUCGAUCUCGCCACUAGUGCUUGCUCUUCUCCGUGUGUUGCUGCGUUUCUCUCUUCGAUCUUGCCUCAGCUGUGCAGGUUUUUAUUGAUUCACAGUGUCUCAGCGAUUGAAGACUAGUGUCCAUGUUAACUUGGUCUUCCAUAUAGGACUGAAAAUCAAGAUGCUAUAGAUGCCGCAAUUGUUGGUAUGCUUGCUGAUCCAAAGGAGGCAAGAGCUGGAAUUAGGGAGGUCCAUUUUUUCCCUUUCAAUCCUGGAGACAAGAGGACUGCUCUAACUUACAUUGAAUCUGAUGGAAAUUGGCAUAGAUCCAGCAAAGGUGCUCCUGAGUAGAUAUUGAACCUCUGCAACUGCAAAGAGGAUGUGAGGAGAAAGGCUAUGCAACUAUUGUUAAGUUUGCUGAGCGUGGGCUUCGAU